rnacentral:misc_RNA from 1 species
AACUUUUGGCAACGGAUCUCUUGGCUCUCGCAUCGAUGAAGAACGCAGCGAAAUGCGAUACGUAAGGUGAAUUGCAGAAUUCAGUGAAUCAUCGAAUCUUUGAACGCACCUUGCGCCCCUUGGAAUUCCGAGGGGCACACCCGUUUGAGUGUCGUGAACAUCCUUCAACCUUUCUUGGUUUCUUAACCGGGGAAGGCUUUGACUUUGGGGGUCUUUCAUUGCUGGCCUCUUUGAAGCCAGCUCCUCCUAAAUGGAUUAGUGUGGUCUGCUUUGCCGAUCCUUGACGUGAUAAGAUGUUUCUACGUCUUGGGUUUGGCACUGUCGCUUUAGACCCCGCUUCUAACCGUCUUGCAUUCAAGACAGAGUUUUAAACCUUGACCUCAAAUCGGGUGAGACUACCCGCUGAACUUAAGCAUAUCAAUAAGCGGAGGCU